ACUAAUAUAAGGAGUACAACGCUACAGAUCCCACAGAAUGUACAUGUAAAGUUGCAACCAACAGGUUUUACUUCUCGUGAUCUUCAUUCGAGGUGUCAAUCCUGAUUACAAGAGGUUGAUGCAGAUCCGAGGGGGAGGCCGCCACCGGAAGCUGCGGAGCUCCUAGAUCCGCCUCCCCAUUCUCUGCCAGCGCCUUGUCCAGAGCAGAUUUUGCGACUCUUGUGACACAUAUAAUCAAGAGAACUGCAGGACGACGUGAGGAAAAUGUCAUCAUAAAUUUGCAAUCAGUAGUGUUGUGAAGUAUGGUGCACAGUUAAAGCAUGUCGAUUUUCAAGGCAUCAAGAUUAGUGUUGUGAAGUAUGGUGCACAGUUAAUCAAGAUUGAGUAAAACAAAAUGAAAAUCACAUGUAAUUCAGAAGACCAUUUAAACUGUAAGCAGGAGUAGAGUGAUAACAAAAGAAUAACGAAGGAACUGGCACUUACUGGACAUUACGAAGCCAGAAAUUAUGAGAACCUGUGAAGAAGAAAGUCGUUAAAAGUUGCAUAUAAUGGUGGCAUCUACUUUUAAAAACAAUCAAACAACUUGAAGGAAAUCUAUAUAAUUGGAGAUUGGGUAGAUAUGAUUCCACCUGUUCAAUUUUUUACUGCCAAUGAUAAGAAAAAAUAUGGCACUUUUGCCUUUCUUGAUCACAUUACAUGUUAGCAUUCUUCUUCCACAUUUCACCUUAAGCGAAACAUCACUCUGCUAUUUUGAUGCUACUAGGAAAUACAAAGCACAUUUGCCUAGCAUACACACACCAAUAUGAUACAACAUACCUGUGGGUUCCGAUGAAAUUUGCAUAGAAAACAACACUGGAACUUGAUAGAUCAUGCUCAUGCAUGCAACUUAAGUUUUUGCGGAAACCCAGACCAAAUAUCAAAUGAAGCCAAAUGCAAAGGAAGUGUAUACUACAAAAUUGCUAUUAAUAAAUUUCACUGGUCUAAAUUCUACACAUUAAACAUCACAUGGCUCAUUGCCAAAAGCAUGAAUGGUUAAAAAGGAACCUCGAAGAAACCCAAGCCACAACAGAGGAAACGUCAACAAUAAUCAUGCACUCUAUUUUCUAUGACAAACAUGAUGCCUAAUCCAAACAAUAAUAUAGGGAAAUGCUACAAUAUUCAAUUGCUCACCCAUCUGGUAGUCGAGAUCUCACUCCAUCCAUGGGUCACAUCUGAUAGAUCUUUUAGUGUUGUUCCCACAUAUACCAAGGCAAGAGUGAUUGGCUGGCAAAAGAAUAAAUAUGAUUAGCAACAAAGGUCACAAACACCUGAUAAAGCAUAAAGGGAGAUCAGCACUUUUAGUUAAAGGUAACAAAACCUGCAAGUUAGCAGAUGAUAGUGUCAUGUUACAUGUGAUGUGACCAAGUUUCAUGUGCAAAAAUAGUAAUAUGCCGAAUUGCUGAUUAAGGAACUGUGGAAUCGAACAUGAAUUUCUGAAAAUACUUAUAUCUACUCAUAUAACAGAGCACGAAGCAGCAAAUUACACAAAGCAUGAUGGUGAAUGCAUGGUCACAUGACAAGGUUGCUGAUGGUAACAAUGUCAGGUUUCAUUAGGUCAACUGGUCAACCAAUCUCUGCCAGAAUACUGGCCCCACAGUAUUACAAGACGAAAAACAUGAUUGAGAAUUAGACAACGAAGAGAAGAACUUGAAGCAUACCAUCAUUCCCAGCCAAGAAGCCAGCAUGUAUUCCAUAAUGCCAACAGGAGUGACAGACAACAGGUAGUUCAACAUGUUAAAAGGGAGUAGAGGUACAAGCCGUAGUAGCAACACGAUCUGUGAACAAAAAUAUGAAAAGUGUAACAUAAUUAGGUUUAUUGUGAUGUGCAGGAGAAUUCCGUAACAUAUAUUGAUACACGGCAAGUUAAAACUGUGAAACAGACAGAAAUUGCAAAUCUGUGGGGUAAGAACCAGCACCGAAAAACCGCAUAAAUUGAUACAGGUACGAGUUAAAACUAAUAAAAUAAAUCCUUGGACAUUCGUAAAUUGUCGGGUAAGAACCAGCACCGAAAAACCGCAAAAUCCCUGAAAUUACCCCAACAAAAUCAUAAAAACGAGACAACAUGCUUUCCUUGACAAUUAUAUGUCAGAAAUCCCCUUUGGACAUUCUUCAUAGCAAUAGUCUUAAUUUUUUAAAAUUUAACGAUCAUGUGGAACUGAAAUAUUUGCAGGACACUUGGAAGUUAUUGUGUUUUUCACAUCACACAGCUAUAACAUCCAAUCCACAAGAAAUUACCUUGAAGCCAGACCUUUGGAUGGCUAUAGCUACUGCUUGAAACUUGGGGUAAUCUUUGCAUUUGGAGAGAACAUACGGCCUUCCAAUCUGCAAGUCAUAUAGAACUAUAAGAUAUAAACAUUAAAUAAUGCAAACAUGUCAUUAAAUAUGAAACUAGGAGGCAGAAAUUAAAGCUUCCACAGACCAGGGGAGCAUAACUAUACGUAUUGAGCUAGUCAUGUGUAUUUUACCAUAUUAUCUUCUUAUGUAAUUACAGUUGAUAAAGAAGAAGAAAACGCAACAUAUAAUUUAGGUUCCACAAUCUAUGAGAAAACGUUGUUAAGGAAGAUGGAACUGCAGUUAACUGGUGGCUGGUUCUUGAGCAGUGCAUUUAUCAUCAGUGAUGAAAUGCAAUUUAUGUUUAAAUUAUUUUUUGAGAAUUAAAUUAUAAGAGCAUUAACAUUCCUCCUUACCGUUCUACCAAGCAAAAAUGCAGCAGUCGCGCCAAUUGUCGCUCCAAUGGAAUCAGCAACAAACCCGACUGGCAGGCCAAAUAAAUAACCACCUCCAAGCUAAACAAGCAGAUAAUGCACAUCAAUCAACCAAAUAAUACUAUGCCAAAUAAAGAGAGCACAACAAACGGAGGUUCCAUCAUAAGUGACUGCUAACAGAAAAAUCGAUCCAUGCUUACUGUGAGUAUCGAGGCUGGAACAGCUAAGACCGUCAAAGGAAUGUAAGCAAGGGCCCUGUAAUGAACAACAUGGCAAUUGUUAACAAUAUAUCUCAAAAUAUUCUUUCAAAUAUGAAACUGAAAUUUUGAUCUUGAGCAACAGUUGUGUAAGCCACCCUCCUUGUUUGUGCAUAAGUGUGGUGUGCGGUGUAGGCCUUACAUUUUUUCAGGGUUGUGCUGGAAUAUUGGUCCACUCAAAGGGCGCUAGGAAGGUAGCCACAAGUGAGGGGUGCCAAAAAUGGAAUGCCUAAGUGGUGAGCAUGGUAGGGAGGAGUAGAGGACAAUGUAUUCAGUUGAAUUCACUAUGCCAAUAUAAUUAUGUAACAGAGGAGAGAGAUUACUUACAAUACCAAAGGACCCCAUGCACCCAGGUUCUCUUUGAUCCAAACAAGAAAAUCCUUCAAAAUCUGUCAAUGUCAUAUCGAAACUCAUCAUGAAUAAAAUGAGAAGAACAAGUAUUUGAUGCAAAAACACGUAUGUUGUGUUAGGUAAAACAUUAAACCGUGGAAUCUAGUAGAAAGGUAAACAGAGAAUUGAAGAAGAAAAAAAAGGCUUAGAACUGUAGUCCUAGGGUAAUAAUCUGUGAAGAUCCAUGGACUAACGAUCUUGGAGAAUAUGGGAUUAUGGUCAACAUAAGAUGCAAUAAAAAAUGCUAACAGAGAAAUUUUAGGGACAAGUUAAAUUUAGUUUCAAUUAUUCUAGAUAAAGUGAAAUCUAAAGCCUGACACUGAUACUUGAUUGACAGAGAUCUCAAACAAUAGUCGGUUUUGUUCCAUAAACAUAGGCUAAAGUCAUCAAAUGUAGGUAUGAAAGCUAACAGGACCAGUAACCUGCAUAUUUUUCCUCCCAAAUUACCAAUCUAACUCCAUAUGGACCAUAUCAAUAUCAUCUACCAACAUGUCAUCAUAUCUAAUAAUACGAAGGCUAAGCAAACAGUUCUUUGAAAGGAUGAAUGUGAUAAUAUGACAAAGUUCUGCCGUAUUUAUUGGCCUACUAGUACUAGCAUUAGAAGAAUUAACUAAUUAAAACAUGGGGAAAGAGUGUCGGAAGAAAUGGUUUCACAUUGAAAAUUAAAAUCCUGCCUAUGCUUUGAAAUUACACCAUGAAUUCCACUACGGAAAAGGAAGCCAUUAAAGAUUGUUAUAGAAGUGUAUAAACAUGUGUGAAUUACAUUCUACUCCCUCCGUCCGGAAAUACUUGUCGGAGGAAUGGAUGUAUCUAGAUGCAUUUUAGUUCUAGAUACAUCCAUUUCUAUUCAUUUCUGCAACAAGUAAUGUAUCUAGAUGCAUUUUAGUUCUAGAUACAUCCAUUUCUAUUCAUUUCUGCAACAAGUAAUUCCGGGCGGAGGGAGUAUAUUGCUAUUAUUUGCAGAAGGAUGUGCUCGAAUAGAUUAUACAAAAUAGAUGCCAGUGUCCUCGAGAAAACACUAUAACAAAUAGAUGCCAGUGUCCUCGAGAAAGGCACCCUUACGGCCUUACCACUUACAUGUAAUUACCAAUUCCGUUGUACAACACAUACUAGAUGGGUGAACAGACAGCCUGUUUGGUAGUUCAAGGGAAAGAGAAUGGGAGUUCAGAAGGGGGAGUUUGUUGCUGGAUUGCACUUGGGAAGUGGACUAUUAGUCCCAAUCCCACGUUCGGUGCAUGUUAUGAAUUGUUUGUGGGAUUUGAUAGAAAAUUAAUCUCCUACAAAAUAAAUCAAAUACUAAGCAACAUGGAAGAAGGGAGCAACCCAAAAUGAUCGCUACAGACCCAUGACUUUUUGCCGACUCUUGUCCAUGAUCCAAAACGGAAUAGAAAAACAACCAAACAAAUUGAUCCGUCACAAGUGAAGGGAGAAAACCGAAUAUAAAUAGGGGAAUGUAUCUAGAUCGCUGUGAAGGGAAAAUCUAAAAGAAACAACUACUGCAGAAUUUAUUGGCAUAAUCCAAUAAUAUGGAUGCAGAAGAGAAGAAAUAUUCUAGCACAUUAGAUGAUAUGCGUUGCAUUGAAGUUCCCAGGAUUUUGAGAUUAUUAGAAGAAGAAAAAGAAGCAGCCACGUGAACUCUUCGCAUGUGACGUCUCCUCUCCAAAUUGGAAGGCCUGUAGGCUGGCAGAUUCACGUUAGAAAAGUGAUGUCGCUGGAGGCUUAUUUAGCAAGGAUUUUUCAAUGUAUCGGUGAAGAUUUUUUAUGGUUUUUUUACGCGAGACGUGCACAAUGAACACAACCGUUUUUUUCUUCACCAAUUCCCAUUCCCUGACUGAAUUGCCUGCCCUCCCCCACGGAAGAGAUCUAGGGGAGUUGCCCCACUGAAUUCCCCAACCCCUUCCUUCCUAAACUCCUCUGCCCCCCAACAAUACUAGGGAUUUUUAGUCUCGUAACCUCUCAAUUCCCAUUCCCUACUUGUACUUCCCCCCAACCAAACAGGCUGAGACGGUACCGGUUACAGGUUUCUUAGAGCGUUGAUAGAACAUAUGUUACAUCGUCAAAUACUUUGCGAAAUAGUAAUUACGGAGACGAGAGAAUUUCUGCCUACAAAUGGUUUCACUGAUUAGGUGACACUAUCAUCAUACUACUACAUUGGAAUGCAAUGAAGGAGUCUACUCUAUACACGCCUACAUCUCUAACGAUCUGAACUUUUGAAUGCGUGCCAGCAGCCGCUGACUCCAUUUGCUAGGAAACCUUGAGCCAUAUAUACCAGAAUGCCAUACCAAAAAGUAUACUUCCCCAAAAACUAAGGGCAAUCCAUGGGCGGAAUACAUCCAAUCAGGAGCCGGGACAGAGCUACAUUUGGGCAACCCAAAGGAGUUUAUUCUCGCGCCACACUGCAGCACGCAUGUUGGAAGCGGUAUAGGUCAGAAAGUAGACGCCCUAACGUCAUCCCGUCUACAUCGUCGGUACUGCGGAGCUCGAAUCAGGUCGAUGGUGGGGAGGAUGAGGCGCGCACCUUCUCGACGGGGAGCGUGAAGAGCGCGACGCCGGC
rnacentral:lncRNA from 1 species